AGUGAACGCUGGCGGUAGGCUUAACACAUGCAAGUCGAACGGCAGCACAGUAAGUGCUUGCUCUUACGGGUGGCGAGUGGCGGACGGGUGAGGAAUACAUCGGAAUCUACUUUUUCGUGGGGGAUAAUGUAGGGAAACUUACGCUAAUACCGCAUAUGAUCUACGGGUGAAAGCAGGGGAUCUUCGGACCUUGCGCGAUUGAAUGAGCCGAUGUCGGAUUAGCUAGUUGGCGGGGUAAAGGCCCAGCAAGGCGACGAUACGUAGCUGGUCUGAGAGGAUGAUCGGCCACACUGGAACUUGAACACGGUCCAGACUCCUACGGGAGGCAGCAGAGGGGAAUAUUAGACAAUAGGCGCAAGCCUGAUCCAGCCAUACCGCGUGGGUGAAGAAGACCUUCGGGUUGUAAAGCCCUUUUGUUGGGAGAGAAAAGCAGCAGGUUAAUACCCCGCUGUUCUGACGGUACCCAAAAAAUAAGCACCGGCUAACUUCGUG
rnacentral:rRNA from 1 species